rnacentral:lncRNA from 1 species
AACUGGAAAUAGAACGGCCUUAUGACCCAGCAAUCCCACUUCUGGGCAUAGACACCGAGGAAACCAGAAUUGAAAGAGACACGUGUACCCCAAUGUUCAUCGCAGCACUAUUUAUAAUAGCCAGGACAUGGAAGCAACCUAGAUGUCCAUCAGCAGAUGAAUGGGUAAGAAAGCUGUGGUACAUAUACACAAUGGAGUAUUACUCAGCCAUUAAAAAGAAUGCAUUUGAAUCAGUUCUAAUGAGGUGGAUGAAACUGGAGCCUAUUAUACAGAGUGAAGUAAGCCAGAAAGAAAAACACUAAUACAGUAUGCUGCUGCUGCUAAGUCGCUUCAGUCGUGUCUGACUCUGUGCGACUCCAUGGACUGCAGCCUUCCAGGCUCCUCCAUCCAUGGGAUUUUCCAGGCAAGAGUGCUGGAGUGGGCUGCCAUUUCCUUCUCCAAUGCAUGCAUGCAUGCUAAAUCACUUCAGUCGUGUCUGACUCUGUGCGACUCCAUGGACAGCAGCCCACCAGACUCCUCCGUCCACAGGAUUCUCCAGGCAUGAAUACUGAAGUGUUUAAACCUAAUUCACCUGUAAUUUGAAUACCCUAGUAUGAGAUGGUUGGCAUCACCGGAUUCAAUGGACAUGAACUUGGGCACUUUCUGGGAGAUGUUGAAGGACAGAGAAGACUGGCAUGCUGCAGUCCAUGGGGCCGCAAAGAGUUGGACAUGAUGACUGAACAGCAACAACAAAGUAUCACUUUGAGAAAAUGUGAUAAAGAAACCACAGGAGUCUGGAUCCAAAUGUUUUGGAGACUCAAAACCACAAGCAACUCCUGCAGCUCAAUUCCAGAAAAAUAAACGACCCAAUCAAAAAAUGGACCAAAGAACUAAAUAGACAUUUCUCCAAAGAAGACAUAUAGAUGGCUAACAAAUACAUGAAAAGAUGCUCAACAUCACUCAUUAUCAGAGAAAUGCAAAUCAAAACCACAAUGAGGUAUCAUUUCACACCAGUUAGAAUGGCUGCGAU